UACGUAGGGGGCAAGCGUUGUCCGGAAUCAUUGGGCGUAAAGCGCGCGUAGGCGGCCCGGUAAGUCCGUUGUGAAAGUCAAAGGCCCAACCUUUGAACGCCGAUGGAUACUGCCGGGCUAGAGUCCGGAAGAGGCGAGUGGAAUUCCUGGUGUAGCGGUGUAAUGCGCAGAUAUCAGGAGGAACACCAAUAGCGAAGGCAGCUCGCUGGGACGGUACUGACGCUGAGGCGCGAAAGCGUGGGGAGCGAACAGG
rnacentral:rRNA from 1 species